rnacentral:rRNA from 1 species
AGAGCGUAGGGUGGAUGCCUUGGCGCCAGGCGCCGACGAAGGACGCGACAAGCUGCGAAAAGCUGCGGGGAGGUGCAAAUGACCUACGAUCCGCAGAUAUCCGAAUGAGGGAACUCCGAGCGUGCGAACGCUUGAUCCGCAAAUGAAUCAAUAGUUUGCGGAAGGGAACCCGGGGAACUGAAACAUCUUAGUACCCGGAGGAAGAGAAAGAAAACGAUCGAUUUCCUGAGUAGUGGUGAGCGAAAGGGAAAGAGCCUAAACCUCCGCAUAGAAAUAUGGGGAGGGGUAAUGGACCCCGUUUAGCACGGAGGGGUAUAGUUGAACGCCGCAGGAAAGCGGGACCGAAGAGCGUGAUAGUCGCGUAAACGAAAUACCCUGAAGGCGAGGGGAAUCCGGAGUACCACAGGACACGUGAAAUCCGGUGGGAAGUCGGGAGGACCAUCUCCCAAGGCUAAAUACGACCUGGCGACCGAUAGAGUAUAGUACCGUGAGGGAAAGGUGAAAAGAACCCCGGGAGGGGAGUGAAACAGAACCUGAAACCCUACGCUUACAAGCAGACAAAGCACUACUGAAAAGUGUUAUGUCGUACUUUUUGUAGAACGGACCGGCGAGCUACGAGGCGCGGCGAGGUUAAGGGAUUAAGUCCCGGAGCCGAAGCGAAAGCGAGUUUGAAAAGAGCGAUAAAUAGUCGCGUAUCGUAAGCCCGAAACCGAAUGACCUAACCAUGCACAGGUUGAAGCUGUGGUAAGACACAGUGGAGGACCGAACCCACGCCUGUUGAAAUAGUCGGGGAUGAGGUGUGGUUAGAGGAGAAAUUCCAAACGAAUUCGGAGAUAGCUGGUUCUCCUCGAAAUAGCUUUAGGGCUAGCCUCAGUAGAGAGUACCGAAGGUAGAGCACUGAAUAGGCUAGGGGGCUUCACGGCUUACCGAACCUUAUCAAACUGCGAAUGACGGAUACUUGAUUACUGGGAGUCAGACGGCGAGAGAUAAGUUCCGUCGUCAAAAGGGAAAAAGCCCGGAUCUACAACUAAGGUCCCAAAGUUACGGUUAAGUGGUAAAGGAUGUGUCGUCGUGAAGACAACCGGGAUGUUGGCUCAGAAGCAGCCACUCAUUGAAAGAGUGCGUAAUAGCUCACCGGUCGAAUGACGACGCGCCGAAGAUUUAUCGGGGCUCAAACCGUACACCGAAGUUUAGGAAUAUGCGUAAGCAUAUUGGUAGAGGAGCAAUGUAUGCGGGCGGAAGCGUUAGCGGAAGCGGGCGUGGACUGCAUACAAGAGAGAAUGCCGGUAUAAGUAGCGAGAGAGGAGCGAGAAACUCCUCCGUCGAAAGUCUGAGGUUUCCUGGGGAAGGUUCGUCCGCCCAGGGUCAGUCGGGACCUAAGGCGAGGCCGAAAGGCGUAGUCGAUGGACAACGGGUAGAUAUUCCCGUACCGAUUUUUUACGUUUAAAUGAGGCGAUGACACGGAAGGAUAGUCUGGGCGCGGUGACGGAAAGCCGCGCGCAAGGCAUAAGGCCGACGGGUAGUUAAGUACGCCCGUCGUCAAGGCCGAGUGCCGACGCGGAGUGAAAUUAGUAGCGAAGCGGAUGAAUCCACGCCGGCGAGAAAAGUCGCUAAAUAGUAAGAAAUCGCCCGUACCGCAAACCGACACAGGUGGACGGCAAGAAAAUUGCAAGACGAGCGGGAGAAGCAUUGUUAAGGAACUCUGCAAAAUGACCCCGUAACUUCGGGAGAAGGGGAGCCUGCGUCAAGCAGGCCGCAGUUAAGAGGCUCAAGCGACUGUUUAUCAAAAACACAGGUCUCUGCGAAAUCGCAAGAUGACGUAUAGGGGCUGACGCCUGCCCAGUGCCGGAAGGUUAAGGGGAAGUGUUAGAGCAAUCGAAGCACAGAACUUAAGCCCCGGUGAACGGCGGCCGUAACUAUAACGGUCCUAAGGUAGCGAAAUUCCUUGUCGGGUAAGUUCCGACCCGCACGAAUGGCGUAACGACUUGAGCGCUGUCUCAACAGUGUGCCCGGCGAAAUUGGAGUAUGCGUGAAGAUACGUAUUACCCGCGACUAGACGGAAAGACCCCGUAGAGCUUUACUGUAACCUGAUAUUGGGACUUGGUAAUUCAUGUACAGGAUAGGUGGGAGACUGGGAAGGUAGGGCGUCAGCCUUACCGGAGUCAACCUUGGGAUACCACCCUUGAAUUAUUGAGUUUCUAACGUGCGGCCGUGACCCGGCGCGCGGACAGUGUCAGGCGGGCAGUUUGACUGGGGCGGUCGCCUCCCAAAGAGUAACGGAGGCGUUCAAAGGUUCCCUCAGAAUGGUUGGAAACCAUUCUCAGAGUGUAAAGGCAUAAGGGAGCUUAACUGCGAGACUGACAAGUCGAGCAGAUACGAAAGUAGGACUUAGUGAUCCGGCGGUAGUGAAUGGAAAUGCCGUCGCUUAACGGAUAAAAGUUACCUCGGGGAUAACAGGCUUAUCUCCCCCAAGAGUUCACAUCGACGGGGAGGUUUGGCACCUCGAUGUCGACUCAUCACAUCCUGGGGCUGAAGUAGGUCCCAAGGGUUCGGCUGUUCGCCGAUUAAAGUGGUACGCGAGUUGGGUUCAGAACGUCGUGAGACAGUUCGGUCCCUAUCUAUCGCGGGCGCAGGAUAUUUGAGAGGCUCUGUCCUUAGUACGAGAGGACCGGGAUGGACAUACCUAUGGCGCAUCGGUUGUCGUGCCAACGGCACAGCCGGGUAACGAAGUAUGGAAGGGAUAAACGCUGAAAGCAUCUAAGCGUGAAACCCGCCUCAAGAUUAGAUAUCCCAUAACACAAGUUAGUAAGACCCCUUGA